rnacentral:siRNA from 1 species
CAUUACUGGCCAGUUCUUCAACUA